rnacentral:lncRNA from 1 species
GAAGUCCAAUACAUAUCUGAUUUCUGACGGAAUCUUAUCUCACUAAGCAGAUUGGAUGGGAGAGGCUACAAAACAGUAACUGAUAGAGGAAUUCUGAAGGUGCUGCAUGGUGAUAGGAUUGUUUUGAAGGAAAAAAAGAGGACGAAAGGAUAUUACUAACUAAUAGGGAGCCCAAUAUGAGGUGAAGCUUCAAGAACUAAGAGAAGCCCAGAGCAAGAUGGAGCUCCAGAUGGAGAUGGAUCAAGCACG